rnacentral:rRNA from 1 species
CCUACGGGGGGCAGCAGUGGGGAAUAUUGCGCAAUGGAGGAAACCCUGACGCAGCGACGCCGCGUGAGGGAUGAAGGUUUUCGGAUUGUAAACCUCUGUCGCCAGGGACGAAGAAUCACGGUACCUCGCAAGAAAGCCCCGGCUAACUACGUGCCAGCAGCAGCGGUAAUACGCAGGGGGCAAGCGUUGGCAGGAAGGACUGGGCGUAAGGGGAGUGUAGGCGGCACGUGUAGCUAUAUGUGAAAUCCCGGGGCUCAACCGGGGAAGGGCAUCUGAAACUGGGGAGCUGGAGUGCAGGAGAGGUGAGUGGAAUUCCUAGUGUAGCGGUGAAAUGCGUAGAUAUUAGGAAGAACACCAGUGGCGAAGGCGGCUCACUGGACUGUAACUGACGCUGAGGCUCGAAAGCGUGGGGAGCAAACAGGAUUAGAUACCCUUGUAGUC